AUUUCCCUGUCAUGUAUAACUAAAAAGAAUAAAUUUUUAAAGAGCUAUGUUAGCUGACCUAAAAUGGUAAACUAUGUUUGUCAUAAGAAGAUAAUUUUACCCAGCAACCUUUUGAUAAUUAACUCACUGUGACAUGCAAAUAUAAGUCCAAUUUGCUCAAGCAAUAUUAAAGAACUUUUAAAGUCAGGAGAAUAGCUUAAAGGGAUUUCUUCCUUAUAGCAAUGUUUUGUUUUGUUUUGUUUUUUGAUUCUGAUAGCAAUAUGUUUUACAAUUAAAAUUCAAAGCAGAAUUUGACUUACCGUGACAGCAUUGUUGAAGUAAUUUUUAAUUCUUAUUAUUUAAUAAUCAGUAAACUACAACAAGAGGAAUUUAUGUGUAGGUAUAAAUAUAUGGGAUAUAGUCAUAUAAUCACUAAAUGAUUAUUUUUAUAACCAUGUCUUUCUUUCCAUUGCUUCGAUGAGAUGGUCCUUUCUUUUUAUAUUUCUGAAGAAGCUGCAAAGUUUUCUCUUGUGUUCUAUGAGGAGUCCCUCCUUGAGGCGAGAUGGCUGGAUAAACAUGAGACCAGAUGAAGCCUUCUGGGAAGUUGGCAGUCCUGAGAGCCCAGGGCAAUGCUGAAAUGCCCUUCCAAACAAGGACCCAAACAGCUGAAGGGCUCCAGUUACCCAAGAGAAUAUCACACAUCAACUCAGAACAUAUUAAACAAGAUGGCAAGAUUAAUGAGCUUAUUCAAAAAAGAAAAUAAGUCUUGGUAAGAAACUCAAAAACCUAGAGAGUGAGCUGUUCAGGAUUAUGAAAGAAACGAGUUAUAGGCUGCACAUCCUCUGCUGUUACUGCACGGUGGCGCAAUCCGGGGCUCCCAGUCCGCCCUGUGACCACAGGGAAAACAACCAACAUUCCAGUGUGCUGUGUGACUAAGCUAGGAUGAUUGGUGGUGUCAGGGUUCUCCAUGAGGAUGACCUAGGCAAACAUCACCUGCUCUCCUAAUCGCCUCAGGACUCCUGAAGGAAGGCCACAUCUCAUCGCUAUAACAUGGAGUAAGCUCUAAAAUGCCCAAGAGUAGAAGCUUCUUGUUCCCUGCUGUCAUGGAAAGCAUGCAACAUCUUAGAUAAAAAUAAUCGGAGCCGUCUUCAGUCCUUGGCUCCAGAAUGAGAGCCUCCGGAAUGAGAGCCUCAGGAAUGUCUCGGCAUAGCUGAAGGCAACCAGAUCACCAAGGCACCUCUGUGCUUCAGCUCUUUUUAGCAGUGGGAUUAUUGGGAGUGGUGUAAAUAGACCUCUGUGCUCUGGGUGGUUGCUCAUCCCCCAUUCUGAGGCACACUUGCUUUAUUAAAACUCUCAGCUGUCGCGAUGACCCAGGCAUGGAGAAAUGAAAAGCUCCCCUCACCAACUGGUGGCAGGCUGCAAACUACAGCCCAUUUUCCCUCAUAAGGACAUGUUACUCCUAUUAGAAACUGUGUCCCUCAUGUCCUUAAGAGGGGGGACACCUGCCAAUAAUAAGUUAAGAUCUCAUCUGUUCCAAAUAAGGAAGGAGGCUACCAUCCUAGUUGGCAGUCCUUUUAUACUUGACAGAUCUUUUUUGAAUCCUAUUCUUAUGUAUUUCUUGUAUAAUUAAAGUAUUAUAAAAAGUAAUAAAAAUGGAAAUCCACUGCUGGGA